AACUUGUGCUUUUUCUAUCGGUCUUACAUCCUGCAUAAUCAGCGUCGGAAUAACCAAUCAAGGAACAUAUACUACCUUUUGGAUACUGUAACACCCCAAAAUUUGCCCUCCUCAUUCAUGCAUUCAUUUUUAGGUCAUUUAACAUUUCAUAUUGCAUUUCAUCAUGUCAAUCAGAAUCAGAUCCAAGAAACUUUAUUUUAAAAAAAA
rnacentral:lncRNA from 1 species